rnacentral:lncRNA from 1 species
UUGUAUAUUUUUUUUGGUAGAAGGAGAGUACAUACCAAAAGCCAACGGUGGACGGCUUCUCGUAAAAACAAAAGUUACUUCAUGUGUGGAAGCACAUUUGUCUCUCUUUAACAUAAAAAAUAUAACUAUAACGAAUGCUUACAUACAUUAUAUAUUUUCUCUUCAUUGAAGCCAAAAGUUACCAUGCUUUUUCAAAACUCGGUUAUUUUUAACCCUUCGGUAUUCAAGGGAACGUGGCUGUAGUAAGUUAGAAUUCGAUCAGAAGGUAGAAAGAAGCGGGUAUGCCAUGUAAGACUGAUAAAGAAUGUCCAAACACUUCGACUCACAAGUAUAAAUGCAUUAACGAUGACUGUUUUUGCUUUUAUAUCUAUUGGCCAUUGGGAAAUUCUUUGGUUUAGUUAUACCAGAGUGACACAAUAAAUUGCAUGAAUAUCAUAUAUUUCGAGAGUAUACUCAAGCCAUAUAGGGAUUAAUAAUGUGUUUUUACACUAAAAAAUCUAUGCAAUGUAACUUUUGCUAGAUUAUUCUACGGUUUCCAUUCAUCUACUGUGAUCAUGGAACCUAAUAAUUAUAUCUUUUAUUUAUUUAUUUUGUACUCUAUGAACCUUGCAAUUAACUAUGGCUUAUUUUUAGCAUUCUCAUUUGCUAAGAAUCUAGAAGUGGCCUCUUGGAAGAUUCAACUUAAGGAUCUUCCCUCCUCGAUCUGGACAACUUUCAUGAAAUCAAUCCCUGCUCGGAGACCUUUCUUGAUUAGAUAUGUUUUCAUUUUUUCUUACACUCCUCGGAUUUGAAAAACUUCUUUUUUGAACCUCUCGAUGUAGUCUCGAAGAGAUUCAUUAUUUCCUUGUAUGAAGGCUUCGAGGGAAAAAAACCAUUUUAGGUUGAGUCGUUAAAGCUGUGAAAUGCACAGGGAACUCGUGGCGAAGUUUAUCCUAGGAGUCGAUGGAGUUCCUCUUGAGAUUCUUGUACCACAUCAUUGCUCCUCCGCGGAGUGUGGUCAUGAACAACUUGCACUUGACGAACCUUCUCUUAUUUCUAUAGUUGAGCACCACCUUGAUCUGCUCGUCUUGAUUGAAGGUUUUGUCGUAGGUCUCCAUUCGUUGAAGUUUCUCUAAUCUGGUGGGGAUUCGAGUUUCCCUUGUCCUUUUGGUGAAGGGCAUGUAUGCUUCACAAUCAACAUAUAAAUAAGAUGAGGACCACGAGCGUUUGGACGUACACCUUCUUUCAUGUUGUGAUCUUCAAGAUCUUCUAGCAUUUUCUCUAUAGGAUGUCAAGGAGAUAUGGAUCUGUCUAGAGUUGGACUCAUUCUCCUUAUGUUACUAUGGGGAGUAGGAGAUCGAAUAGUUGUCAUAGAGGUCGGAGACCUUCCACGCAUUUCCCUAGAUCGAGAUUCUUCCAUCUCCCUGAUGCGCCUGUUUUGAUCGUUGAUCACUUGUGUUUGUUGACACAGGUUCUUGAUAAUGUUGUUAAGCAAAACCUUUGUAGAAUAGACGUUACUCGUUCCUUCCUUAGGAAGUGGAGGACCGAAUAGUGGUGCCUUGCGGAUAGGGAUUACCAUUUGUUGUACAUGGUGUUCCGUCUCCUUCCUUGGGAUGUCAAUCGAAGCUGGAGUUGAGGUUUGUCUGUCACAGUUGACGGAGAGGACCUCAAUCAUUAGUUGGACGCAUCAUUAUCCAUUUUGUAGUAUGAAUAGUUUUUUUUUUUUUUUUUUU